rnacentral:rRNA from 1 species
CCUACUGGAGGCUGCAGUGGGGAAUAUUGGACAAUGGGCGGAAGCCUGAUCCAGCAAUACCGCGUGUGUGAAGAAGGCCUGAGGGUUGUAAAGCACUUUCAAUAGGAAGGAAUACCUAUCCAUUAAUACUGGGUAGACUGACAUUACCUAUACAAGAAGCACCGGCUAACUCCGUGCCAGCAGCCGCGGUAAUACGGAGGGUGCAAGCGUUAGUCGGAAUUACUGGGCGUAAAGCCGUCGUAGGCGGCGUGAAAGCCCCGGGCUUAACCUGGGAAUGGCAUUUGAUACUGGCGAGUUAGAGUUGAGUAGAGGGGAGUGGAAUUUCAGGUGUAGCGGUGAAAUGCGUAGAGAUCUGAAGGAACACCAGUGGCGAAGGCGACUCCCUGGACUCAAACUGACGCUGAGGUACGAAAGCGUGGGUAGCAAACAGGAUUAGAUACCCGUGUAGUC